rnacentral:rRNA from 1 species
AGAGUUUGAUCCUGGCUCAGAAUGAACGCUGGCGGCAUGCCUAACACAUGCAAGUCGAACGAAUUACCUUCGGGUAGUUAGUGGCGCACGGGUGCGUAACGCGUGGGAAUCUGCCCCUUGGUUCGGAAUAACAGUUGGAAACGACUGCUAAUACCGGAUGACGACGUAAGUCCAAAGAUUUAUCGCCGAGGGAUGAGCCCGCGUAGGAUUAGGUAGUUGGUGUGGUAAAGGCGCACCAAGCCGACGAUCCUUAGCUGGUCUGAGAGGAUGAUCAGCCACACUGGGACUGAGACACGGCCCAGACUCCUACGGGAGGCAGCAGUGGGGAAUAUUGGACAAUGGGCGAAAGCCUGAUCCAGCAAUGCCGCGUGAGUGAUGAAGGCCUUAGGGUUGUAAAGCUCUUUUACCCGGGAUGAUAAUGACAG